GCGGGAAUAGCUCAGUGGUAGAGCAUCACCUUGCCAAGGUGAGGGUCGCGGGUUCGAGCCCCGUUUCCCGCUCCA
rnacentral:tRNA from 2 species